AACGAACGCUGGCGGCAUGCCUAACACAUGCAAGUCGAACGAGACCUUCGGGUCUAGUGGCGCACGGGUGCGUAACGCGUGGGAACCUGCCCUUAGGUUCGGAAUAACUCCCCGAAAGGGGUGCUAAUACCGGAUAAUGUCUUCGGACCAAAGAUUUAUCGCCUUUGGAUGGGCCCGCGUUGGAUUAGCUAGUUGGUAGGGUAAAAGCCUACCAAGGCGACGAUCCAUAGCUGGUCUGAGAGGAUGAUCAGCCACACUGGGACUGAGACACGGCCCAGACUCCUACGGGGGGCAGAAGUGGGGAAUAUUGAACAAGGGGCGAAGGCCUGGGCCAGCAGUGCCGGGUGAGUGAUGAAGGCCUUAGGGUUGUAAAGCUCUUUUACCGGGGAUGAUAAGAACAGUGCCGGGAAAAAAAGCCCCGGCAAACCCCGG
rnacentral:rRNA from 1 species